rnacentral:rRNA from 1 species
ACUCCUACGGGAGGCAGCAGUGGGGAAUUUUGGACAAUGGGCGAAAGCCUGAUCCAGCCAUGCCGCGUGCAGGAUGAAGGCCUUCGGGUUGUAAACUGCUUUUGUACGGAACGAAACGGCCUUUUCAAAUAAAGAGGGCUAAUGACGGUACCGUAAGAAUAAGCACCGGCUAACUACGUGCCAGCAGCCGCGGUAAUACGUAGGGUGCAAGCGUUAAUCGGAAUUACUGGGCGUAAAGCGUGCGCAGGCGGUUAUGUAAGACAGUUGUGAAAUCCCCGGGCUCAACCUGGGAACUGCAUCUGUGACUGCAUAGCUAGAGUACGGUAGAGGGGGAUGGAAUUCCGCGUGUAGCAGUGAAAUGCGUAGAUAUGCGGAGGAACACCGAUGGCGAAGGCAAUCCCCUGGACCUGUACUGACGCUCAUGCACGAAAGCGUGGGGAGCAAACAUGAUUAGAAACCCCAGUAGUCCC